rnacentral:lncRNA from 1 species
GAGGGGUCCAAGCCUUUUCUCAGCAGGAAGGACUUGCCUGAGCUUCUAGGUGGCUUGUUCCCCGUUGCCAAAUCUGGCUUGGGCCACAAAGUGAAGGCAGGAUCCACUUGAAAGCAAGGGAAUGAGGUGCUGAGAACAAGUCCCUCAGUUGACUCAGCUCACACACACACACUCACAGACACAAACACACUCACACACACAUACACAGCACAUCAGGCUGACCCGAGGCCCGCGGCCCCUUUGCUGUCUGUAUACAAGGUAGCAAACGAAGCGACAAGUCAGCGCAACAGGAAAAGCGACUGCUGCCAGAAGCUUGCAUUUCCAUUUCUGAAACACCCAGCCCUGACCCCGGAGGCAGACAAGCAUGCUUCAGCAGGACCAAAUGUUUCCAGUACGCAGCCGGGCUGAAGGCAGCAAAUUGAGUGGAACUGUCUGUUGUAUCUUGCUUUCAGCUUCUCGAGCUGUUUUUAAAAUCCCUUUUGGGCGCAGGAAUCGUUUCACUCUAUGACCUUGCAUUAAAUGCUGGUGUAUGCAGAGCGAGGUGACAGAAUCCCGGCUGCUUUGUCCUCAAAAUGCCAGAACCUCUGCCUCACAGUGGAUGACAUCGGGUUGAAUAUCUUCACAGCCAUAGCAGGCUGAAUGUCCUCUUUGAAAGCUGCCUUAGAGCCAGGCACAUUAUUCUGAAGAGCCUCAAAUGUGAAUCGUCUUCAUCCUCUGAGGUUGGGCACAGCUGUUGGAAGCAGCCGCAGGUGUGUGUGUCCCCCAGGGCAAUCGGCAGAGCCUCCUAUGGUGACAUGAGGUGACCUCGGGUCUCAGUCUGCCUGGCUUUAACCCCGAGCUCCACGUGUGUGUUACCUGUGUGAUCUUGGGUGCCACGCCUCUGUGCUUGGUAACCUCUGCUUGUAGAGUUUGGAUUCUUAGAAGGGUGCUAACUUCAGAGACUCCUUCUGA